CUCAAGGCAGUAAAGGUGUCUCCAUCUAAAAUGGAGAACGACAGUGGGGAGGAGGAAGAAGAAGAAGAGGAUGAACAAGGAGCAACUCUCUGUGGAGCUUGUGGUGAUAAUUAUGCGACUGAUGAAUUCUGGAUUUGCUGUGAUAUUUGCGAGAGAUGGUUCCAUGGAAAAUGUGUGAAGAUCACUCCAGCUAAAGCUGAGCAUAUCAAGCAGUACAAGUGUCCUAGUUGCAGUAGCAAGAGAGCUAAAGUCUAGAAUUUGUGGCAAGAACAAUUAAGUGGUGAUGUUGGAAGGUGUAGGAGUUUUAGCUCAAUUAUCAAAUGUCAAAAGUUAAAUGUUUGCUGAUGGAAUUGGGAUGUCCAUUUCAUGAACAUUUGCUUUCUGUUAUCUUGCUUUCGGAUUGUGUUUUAGAUUAAAAGAAAUUGUGCCUGUUAUCAUCUUGUGUUUGAAGAUCCAUUUUCACUUUUUACUUUUGUAUUUAUUAUGAGGAAUUCCCAAACUUUUGUGAUAGUUUUGAGUACCGGAACAACAACCUGCUUAAAACUUAUGAAGGUCUAUCCUUUAUACCAGUCCACCAUGACUACAAGCUUUUAAUACCCCAAUAUAGGUUAUUCUAUCUGCUUCAAUAUUUUCUUUCUUCAUCUUCUACAACAAUUCAACAGCUUCAAUCACACUGCCAUAAGCUGUUAGCAUUCCAAUCUGCUGCAACAGCUCUCUCAGGAAUUUCAUCAAACUGUUGCUGUGCAAUCUCCAAAGACUAAAACUUUCCAUACAUACCCAUAAUCGCAUUCCGAAUGAACCUACCCAACCAUGACCUCUUUUGAUAGUAGGUUAUAACCUCUGAAAAUUGGAAUAAUCUAAGUGAUUGACAGGAAGAACAAUCCACGUACCCAGUGAAAUCUCACACAAUAACAUAAACAUAUUGAUAUCAAAAGCAAGAACUAUAAGAAUAACCUAAUACACAACUUCUGAAUCGUAUACGUAUGAAAAAAAGAAAUUCAGUCUAACUUGAUUUAUCAAAAAAUGUAAAAACUAGUGAAAAAGCUACUCACCUUAAUUCAAUAUUGGAGUUUGUCUUUAUACUCAAAUCACCGCCUUUGCUAUGAUUUAUUUCAUCAGAAGAAAUAUUUACGCAACCCAAUAGGUACACUUGCUCUCUCACAUCUAUUACAACCUCUUCCCUCUUUCUCUAACUUAAUCUCCGCUUUUUCACCAAUAAGUUGAUUUGCAAAAGUAACAAACAAAUAAGUCAAAACCCUGAAAAUUAAUCCCAAAAUUAGUUGGGAACCGUAAAUAAAAUCACAAUAAGAUUAAUUUUUAGGUUAGCAAAUUCAACUUACCAUAGCCCAGAAAAAAAGGAUGAAGAUUGCUUCCGAAGGAACAAUGGUGCAAUUGAAGCCAACAAUUCUUUUGGACUAAUUACAUGUGUUAUCCGCUAUCUCUUAAAACUCUCACCCUAUCACUCAAUUUUUUUUGUUCAUCUUUGUAUCCAAAUCUCAUGAUUCUCAAAUCAUUUUUCACGACUAUUAAAUUAAAGGUAUAUUUAACUUUUUAAAAAUCCUUUAUACUUUUCUCAUUUGAGUAAAAGUAAAACCUCUUGAUAACUAUAAAACCCAAAUAAGCUAUCCGUGGUAUUUAUAUCCCCCAACUUUUAUUGGAAACAACAAAUGUCAAAAUCAAAACCCACAAAACACAAACAUCAUAGCCUUCUUUUUUUUACACCUCUGUCUCAUCAUCAAACAAGAAGAAAGAAAAGAAGACAGAAGAAUCCCUCUCCAUUCUCCAAGGCAAAAUCUUCAUCCUAAAUUCUAGUAAUAAAAUAUUCUCAAGUUGGGAGUAUUACUAUAAUUUAACAACAAAUAAAAAGACAUUUCACAUCAGAUUUCUGCCACAUUUUUUUUUUGAAAGAACCAAUAGAUCCAAGUAUUCGUACACUAGUGCUACAUGUAUCUAUUUACCAAAAAAAAAAAAACUAAAAUAAAUGCUGCUGCUAAAACCCUUUCCCCACCACCCCACUUUCCUCUUUCUUCCUGCUGUUCUCUUUCUCUUUCUAUAUCCGUUUCUUACAAUUUCUCUACUUCUCACAGUUUCUCAUAAAAAAUUGAGUUUUUCUCUUUAUGAAUCUUCAUUUUCACAGUACGUAGCAAACUAAUUUUUAAGUUUGGGUAACAUGAAGAGGAAACCCUAGUUCUUGGGGGGAAAACCCUAAUUUUCUUCAACCCACUUCUUGUUUUUUCUCAAAGACUCAAUUUUUUUCUUGUGGGGUUGUUAGAAAUAUGGAAAAUACGGUACCUAGGACUGUAGAAGAAGUAUUCAACGAUUUCAAAGGUCGUAGAGCUGGUUUAAUCAAAGCACUAACUACAGGUUUGUAGUGUUGUUUCCUUUUUUUUUCUUAGAAUUUUCAUGCACUUUUAUGGGGUUUUGAGCAUAAUUUCUUUCUGGGUGUUUCUGAAUUUUGUUGGUUUUGCUAAUUAUGAUGUUCUUGAUUUUUUUUAAAAAAUUAUGCAGAUGUCGAGAAGUUUUAUCAAUCGUGUGAUCCUGGUGAGUUUUCUGCUGCUCAGUUUUGAUGGAUUGUUGUGGUCCAUCAAUAUUUUCACAUUUGGUUCUUCUGUGCUAUGAGCUUGAGGUGUAUUUCUAAAUGCAGUAUAUUUCCUAUAGGCUAUAGCUUUAAGUUUUCCGGGACUGUUUCUUUAUGAGAAAAUGAUCAAAAUGGUCCUUAAUGUAUGGUCUUUGAUUCCAUUUGGUCCUUAAUGUAUGGAGUUGAUGGAAAUGGUCCUUUAUGUAUCAUAAAUUGUGAUCAAUUUAGUCCUUAACCCUAAAAUUUUAAUGGCAGCAAUUAUUUAAAAAAAAUUUAAACUAAAAUCGCUACACGCGGAGCGAUUUCCCAUUAUUUUUUAAGCAGUCCUCGCCUCGAGAAUUUUUAAUAAAAAAAAUUGAACUUUUUUAAGAAAAUGGCUGCUAUAGCAGCUAUUUCUAUUUUUUAAAUGCUGCUGGGGCAACGUUGUUAAAAAAAUAAAAAUCACAACAGCGAUUUUAAAGAAAAAAGAAAUUUUUUUUUGGACCGGCAGCGAUUUUUAUGUUUUUUAAAGGAGUAACAGCGUCAAUUUUGUCAGAAGAAAAUCACUCCGUCAGAAGCGAUUUUGCCCUUUUGGUUAAGAAAAAAUUGAUGUGUCAUUUUGGAAUUUUUGGAAACAGGGGAAGGAAAGUCUUGAACGAGUGCAUCUUUUACAUAUUCCGUGUAUUUUGACGGCAAAAUAAAAUAAAAUAUUAAUUUUAGGGUUAAGGACCAAAUUAAUCACAAUUUAUGAUACAUAAAGGACCGUUUUCAUCAAGUCCAUACAUUAAGGACCAAAUGGAAUCAAAGCCAUACAUUAAGUACCAUUUUGAUCAUUUUCUCGUUUCUUUAUACUCCUGUUUUUUCUUUAAAUUUCUGUUGUUUUAUGUUCCUACUGUAUUUUGGAAUUUCAUUGUCAAUUUGGUUGAGUGAUUAAGCGACUUGAUUAGGACUUUGUGACUCUUAUAUUCCUAUAAGAGUCAAGCUCAUAUAUUUUCCUAUAAGGCUAUAGCUUUUAAUUUCUGGGACUGUUUCUUUAUAUUCCUGUUUUUUCUUUAAAUUUCUGCUGUUUAAUGUUCCUAAUGUAUUUUGGGAUUUCAUUGUCAAUUUGGUAGAGUGAUUUAGCAACUUGAAUAGGACUUGUGACUUAAUAUUUCAGAAUCUUAUAAUUUGCUUCUUGUCCCGUCUUUGUGUCAGUUUUGGAACUUCAAUGUUGUUUGUCCCAAGGAGUGGCCUAGAACUCAUGGUUAGAGCUUUCUGACUGCCUAUAUAAUUUUGUCAUUUGAUGUUCUUCUUUGGCUGCCAUGCAGGAAUGGAAAGAUCAUAUCUUUAUUAAGUAGUUAAUUGUCGCCUUCAAUUUUGAAAGAGUAAUUUUUCUGCAUUUUCAACAGAAUUAUCAUGAUCUCAAACUGCAUUCCAGAAUAUGAGUUGUAAAAUGAGAUCAUUACUUAGAAUUUUGUGUCAUUUAGUGAGAAUGUCAAUGUCAGAACUGUUCUCGUUGUAGUCUUGAUGACUUUUUGUCAAUUCUCAAGGAAGAAGAGGUUAGAACUUCUUUUAUGUAGCAAUGAUCAUCAUUUCUCUAUCACAGUGGCAGAGUGUCUCCAACCAUUGUUUAUCUUGCUUACAGCAACAACAACAACAACAUACCCAAUAUAAUCCCACAAGUGGGGUCUUGAUCAUUUAUCUUGUUUAUGAUGGGUAAAAGUGCAUAUGAUUGGAGUGUUGAAACCACUUUGAUGUCUUUAUGACAUUUUUUAUGUUGAUGCAUUUGGUGUAUAUACAUACUUAAGGUGUCUGGAGGCAGCUUAGUUAAAGUGGGUUGAAGUAUGUGUUUUCUUUCCUUUUUUUUCUCUUUCUUGGUAAGUUUUUUUCUCUCUUCUCUUUUUCAUUAUUCUUUGGGGUUUUGGUGGGUGGGGUGGGGAUGGGGGGUAGGAGGUGAGAGUACUGUAUUUCUGGUCUGUGAAAAAACAAUUUGGAAAUCCUUAUUUUGCAUUUGGCAAUUUUAGAGGUGCUUUUCUUGUGCCAGUAUUCAUUAAUUGUUUUUGAAGUAUUUGAUAUAGUAGGGAAACAUACCGUGGCUUUAUCCCAAGCAUUUGAUGCAUUUCUUUUAUGCAGUGUCUAACUGUUUAUACUUAUUCGACAGUCUCUGUUAAAAACUCUAUUUUGAAGAACUGGUUUAAAUUCUUUAUUUCGUUGCUGUUAUUUAUUUUGAUCCCAUUUGCUUAAAUGUUCAUUGUGACCUUUGUGACAAUGAUAUCGAUAGACUACUCCCUCUAUAUUUCAAACAGUUGUAUCGGCCUUUAUGACAGUUUAUAUCUCUCUUUAAUGUUUUUAGUCCGAUAGAUUACACAGUUAUUUAAGGUUUCGUAGAUAGUUUAUUAAAGCCUGGAAGUUGUAAGGAUAAUUGAGUUUUCUCUUGUGUUGCAUCAUUCUUAUCCCCUUCAUUUCACAGCUUGCCCUCUCUUUUUCCUUGUAUAGAGGCUUGUUGGGUGUGUUCCUUCAUUGGAUGUUCAAUUCUUGUUUUCUAUAUAGAUCACUUAUGCAGAUCAAUUAUGAAGUGUUUAUGACAAUUUCUGGAUUUAACUAUGUUUACUUUCAGAAAAGGAGAACUUGUGUCUCUAUGGGCUUCCUAAUGAAACAUGGGAAGUAAACCUCCCUGUAGAGGAGGUGCCUCCAGAACUUCCGGAGCCAGCAUUGGGCAUAAACUUCGCACGUGAUGGAAUGCAAGAGAAAGACUGGUUAUCACUUGUUGCUGUUCACAGUGAUUCAUGGCUGCUUUCUGUUGCAUUCUACUUUGGCGCACGGUUUGGGUUCGGCAAGAGUGAAAGGUAAAAUAAAAUCUGUUACCAAUAGAUUUCACCUUUAUCGUUUUAACUGUCUUGCAAACUUGGUCCUACCCAUUAUAUUUUAUUUGAAUGUGUAUGUUUUUCCUGUUUGAUGGAAGACAUUGGAGGCCUUGGGCUACCUUUUGGCAAAUUUAAAUUAGUGUUGUGCCAUGUGCUUCCCUGCUAUUAAAUUCUUUGCGGAUUUCCCGCCCUCCCUUCUAUACUCUGUCUUUGCAUUGUAUAUUAGGUAGAUUUUGCUUGAUUUCUUUUUAUCUAUUCAGGGGUGGAUCUUGUGGCAUAAGUUGAGCUACUUCUUUGCCAUAGUUGUUCCCCUCAAGCUGCUUAAAACUCACAUUUUUCCCGUUGGAGCUUACUUUUCAUUUUUUGUUGAACUCCAUGCUUACUAACUGUUGGCUGAUGGAGGAUUUCCAAGAAGAUAUUCUUGUCAUCAAAGAUGUGAUCCUCUAAGAUGAGAAGAUAUUCUUCAUAUCAAGAUAUGAUCCUCUAAGAUCUUAGUAUAAUUGUGGUAAUCUAGAAUAUCAUAUCUCUGAUUCUUUCUCUUAAUGUAAAGAUUUAGGUGAUUCUAUUCCACAAUCUUUUAUGUAUAUAUAAAGCCAUGUACAUGACAUAGAAAAAUAUGAAUGAAAUUAUUCAAUAAUCUUAUUCCACAAUUGGAUAUGGAGACGACGGAGAUGCAAGGUGUUACCUAAUUAUGCAGUACUAUUCUGGUGGUAGUCUUAGGGAUAUACUUAAUGGUAUGUUGUCUAUUCUUAUUUUCUUUUUUUUUCUUCUAAAAACACAAAGGUUCCACAUGCUUAAUGUAGUUUUAUCUCUCUUUCUACAAAUGUGUGGAUAUGUUAUAAUUUUCUUGAUGCAGACCUGACAUAUGAUUGUGCAUUAAACACUCUAAUUGAUGUGUUUGACGGGCUGCAUCUAAUACAUACCCAUUUUGAACACGGUCGGAUAGUUCAUGCUAAUUUGAACCCGAAAAAUAUAGUGCUUGAUGAGGUAAGCACCAUUCUCAAUGAUCUAGAUCAAAAAAAUCAUCCCCGUAUACCAAAAAACUAAACUUGUAUAUUAAACAUACACCUUCAGGAGUGGAGAGCAGCACUUUGUGAUUUCAGCCUCACUCAUGAGGUUUCUAAAGACGAGGCAAUUUGCCAUAGCAACUACGUUGAAAGAGAAGCAAAAGGUAAGAAUUUUAUGUUUUAAUGAAAAACGACCUGUUCAAAUUUAGCAUGUUAAAAAGUGAUUUUCACUUUAAUCAAUUUAAGAUUCUACUAAGAUAUGAGAUAUGGCUGUCAGUGAACAUGACCAUAUGGUUGGGGAGAGAAAGAGGUUAUGGGUAUGAUUCUUGGAAAAAGGAUUUAUUUCAAAACAAAUAUUAGUCAACAGUUCUUACUAUGAGCAUUGAAUUAGUUGCCUUGCCUUGAUCUUCAUGCAUCUUGGAGUAACCAAAAUCUUUUUCGUUUUUUGUUUUCUUGGCAGGUAGGACAGAGGCAACCCAUGACAAACAAGCAGCAGAGAUAUAUGCAUUGGGAAUAAUCAUGAUUGAAGUUUUAACCAAGGAACCAAUUGGUGCACAGGAACUUGAAAAAACAGUUAGAAGGAAAAUGCAACACAAGGAGUCCAUCCGAGCGAUGAUGGUAGAGCCAAUGAAUUGCUUGACUUGACUCUCUGGUGCAUUAGUAGUGGAAGGAUAGAUCGGCCUCGAGCUUAUGAAGUCUCACACAACCUAAGACGAAUCCGAGACUCAAGUGUGUACAUGAGAAUGGCUAAAGCUGGCGAUUUACAAUCUGCUGAUCCACUAAGCCUUUUCAUGUACUGUUAUUUGAAAUAUUCUAGGACAUCUUUCCACACCAAAUACACUUCGGGAGGUAAUCACUUCACUUGUAUCCUAUUUUGCUUAGACUCUUCAAAAUGUUGUUGCACCCGUGUUGGGUCCUCCAAAAGUGCACUAUUUUAAAGGAUCCAACAUGCAGCCCACAAUUUGUAAAAGAGUCUCAACAACAUAGCUUCUUAUAUAUUUGGGUUUUUCUUGUCUUAGCAUUAUAAGAGUAACAUUUUCUGAGAUGUGGUAUAUUUCACACAUUAUAUAGUUGUUGAUAUGUAUACUCGAGCUACGUUUUGGAACUUGAUGAUUUACUUUAUUUACUUAAAAGGUUUUUAAGAGUACUGUACUAACAAGAAAUUUCUCAUUAGUGUAUCAAUGAGUUUGAGUUCUCCUUAAAUGAAAAGUUCUUCAUAUGUCGGAGCUUCUACAGUUUAGCUAUUUUCGAAUUCAACAUAUAUGGUUUCUCGUAACUAAUGAUUCAGCAGAAGCCUUACAAUAGUGCCAGAUUCUUUUGACUUUUGACUUUUAAUUUUUUGUUUUAAAAUGAGUGUUGACAUGGCUUGUUGAAUUUUUGUAAUGUUAGAAUAAUACUUUUUCUUGUUUUGAGGCGGAGAUUGUAGCUUGUUAAGUUCUCAUUCUCCAUGACAUUUGCCCAUUUUAGCACACCAAAUAUCAGAAGCUGAUAUAUUCUUUUGACUUUUUUUCCGAAGUGAUUCUCUCUUCGCCAUACAAACCCUGUGUCACUUUCAAGUAAAUAAUUCUUUGUUGUCAAAAUUGUCUAGUUCCAUGCUUGGAAAUUCUGCGAAAGUUUCGCCUAAUGGAUCAACAUCGUUUAGUUGAACAACUGAAGGAUUUGGUAGCCCGUGAUAUUGACCAAACAGCUCGUCAACACAGCAAAUUUGAAUCAUUUAAAAAGGAUGUGAUGCAUCUCUUGGAGGAACUCGAACUCAGUAUGUUAUAUUAUCUGUAUAAGAGAUGUCCAUCAUUUGAUUGGGCAAGUGAAAGAUUUGAAAAUCUGAAGGAGGGUCUUAAUCUAAUUGAUAUAACAGAGGAAAAGGUAUGGAAAAGUUUUAUUUCUUUAUGGUUUCAGAAAUUGCUAUACUCUUCUUGUCAUGUUUGUCACUUACUUCCGUACUUGUCUUCUUGUGACCCCAAAAAAAANNNNNNNNNNNNNNNNNNNNNNNNNNNNNNNNNNNNNNNNNNNNNNNNNNNNNNNNNUUACAUGGAGACUUAGAUGAGGAGAUCUAUAUGGAGGUGCCACCUGCUUUUGAAAGCAAGAAGGGAAUGGUGUGUAGACUGAAGAAGGCACUCUAUGGAUUAAAGCAAUCACCUCGUGCAUGGUUUGGAAGAUUUACAAAGGUUAUGAUCAAGCUAGGGUACCGACAAAGUCAAGGAGACCACACCUUGUUCAUACGACACUCAAAAACAGGAAAAGUGACAGCAUUGUUGGUUUAUGUGGAUGACAUCAUAGUAACAGGUGAUGAUUCAGAGGAGAUACAAAAUUUGAAGAAGUGUUUACUCAAGGAAUUUGACAUCAAAGAGCUUGGGAAAUUAAAGUAUUUUUUGGGAAUCGAAGUGGCACACUCAAAACAAGGAAUCUUUAUUUCCCAACAAAAAUAUGUGCUUGAUUUGUUGAAAGAAACAGGAAAAUUAGGGUGUAAACCAGUGGCUACACCAAUUGAAUACAAUCAUAGAUUGUGCAAUGCUCCAGAAGAUUCAGUGGUAGAUAAAGGCUUGUAUCAAAGGCUUGUAGGGAAAUUGAUUUACUUGUCCCAUACAAGGCCGGACAUUGCAUUUGCUGUAAGUGUUGUUAGCCAAUUUAUGCAUGAUCCUAGAGAAAUGCAUCUUCAAGCUGUCAACCGGAUUCUACAAUAUCUUAAAGGAAGUCCAGGAAAAGGAAUAUUAUUCAAAAGAGGAGGAAACAUGGUUUUAGAGGCUUAUACAGAUGCGGACUAUGCUGGUUCAUUAGUGGAUCGAAGGUCAAGUUCUGGAUAUUGCACCUUCUUAGGAGGAAAUCUGGUGACUUGGAGGAGUAAAAAACAAAAUGUAGUAGCUAGAUCAAGUGCAGAAUCUGAGUUUAGAUCCAUGGCGAUGGGAGUUUGUGAGUUGUUAUGGCUAAAGAUAAUCCUUGAUGAUUUGAAGAUAAGAUGGGAAGGACCUAUGAGGCUAUAUUGUGACAAUAAAUCAGCAAUAGUAUAGCUCAUAAUCCUGUACAAUAUGAUCGCACUAAGCAUAUUGAGGUAGACAGACAUUUCAUUAAGGAGAAAUUAGAUAACGGACUCAUUUGUACGCCAUUUGUAUCUACAAAAGAUCAGGUUGCUGAUGUUUUAACAAAAGGACUGCCAAACAAUAUGUUUCAAGAUCUAAUAAGCAAGCUAGGAAUGGAAGAUAUCCAUUCACCCGCUUGAGGGGGAGUGUUGGCUGAUGGAGGAUUUCCAAGAAGAUAUUCUUGUCAUCAAAAGAUGUGAUCCUCUAAGAUGAGAAGAUAUUCUUCAUAUCAAGAUAUGAUCCUCUAAGAUCUUAGUAUAAUUGUGGUAAUCUAGAAUAUCAUAUCUCUGAUUCUUUCUCUUAAUGCAAAGAUUUAGGUGAUUCUAUUCCACAAUCUUUUAUGUAUAUAUAAAGCCAUGUACAUGACAUAGAAAAAAUAUGAAUGAAAUUAUUCAAUAAUCUUAUUCCACACUAACUUGGAACUCUAGAAUAGAGAAUUGCUAGCAGUUAGAUUAUUUAGGCAAUAUAUAGAAGUCCACCUUCAACCAAAGUUCAUUUAGUGCGUUCACCUUCAACCUAAGUUCAUUUGGUCAGUGUUUCAUAUUCUUUGCGUCAUGAUAGAUGUGUUAUUUCUUUGUCUUGGUGAGUAUACUGAUGACUUGUUGCAAUGAUAUUCUUGGUGUGAUGAGAUUCCAGACAUCUCCAAUUUUUAGAAAAUAGAUGUGUUAUUGACUUAUUUCUUUGUCUUGGUGAGUAUACUGAUGACUUGUUGCAAUGAUAUUCUUGGUGUGAUGAGAUUCCAGACAUCUCCCAUUUUUAGUUUUCUACUAUAAUUUUUUUUUACUAUUAUUACCUUUUAAAUAAGGAUUAUAGAUUUGCAAUGCUCUUUGUCCUUUCACCAUUCUAGGAAGGUCAUUUGGUGCUUGUUGUUACAAAGGCAAAUCCAUUCACUUAGUGGCAUUCGUUGUGGCAUCAUUGAAUAAGAUAAUGUUUGGUUCAGCAAAGCUAAGGAUGCCUGACAUGUCGAGAUGUUUACCAUCAGCUGGUGUUUCUGAAUGUAUUAUCUUUGAAUAAAAUAGUGCUCAGCUGAGUGAACAGCAGAAGGUCUGACAUCUUGAGAGAGGUUUACUGUCAGCUGUUAUUAUUGGCUGUAGCCUGUAGCAUCUUUGAAUAUUAGUGCUAAGUGAGUAAGCGAAGGAUGUCUAGCAUGUCGGUACAUUCAGGACGGCACAAAUGCUGUAUAAUGAUGGGAGAAACUUCCAUGUAGCAGGUUUUGGUCCCUCUUUUCUACCCUGGAGUCCACUUUUUGUGUCUGCUGCCAUUGUAAGUUAGAGAAUAUUGAUGGAUGUGAAAAUAUGACUGAAAUCAUUAUAAGCUGGAGUUUAUACUGGGAAACUGGUCACAUGGGAUUCCAUAAUCAUGCGUACAUGUCCAGAAAUGUCAACUUAAAUUUGACUUAUAUCUGUCAAGUAUCUGGAUAGUUUGCCUAGCUAGAGUCCAAUCUCAUUAAUGUGCCUAUGUUGCUCGGAGUGCAUGUCGGAUCCUCCAAAAUUAGUGCAUUUUUUGGAGGAUCUGACACAAGUACGGCAUCAAUAUUGGAGAGUCCGAGCAACAUAGGUGGCUUCCAUUGGUUAAAUGGUUAUCUGAUAUUAAUUUAGGGAGGAUAAUUGUUUUACUUUGGAAAUCAUGUAUACAGGAAGAGGCUUUUCCAAAUGACAAAUGAUCUCCCAACAGUGUUUGAGGUUGUUACUGGAGCUGCUAAGCAGGCACGCGAUGCCGCUCACAACAAUAGCAGCAAAAGCAAAUCAAGUGGAAAGGUUCUCAUAUACUGGACCUAACAUAUAUAGUUACUGUUUCUUUUCCCAUUUUGUUUGAGCAUAUGUUUUCAGCUAUUAUCUUUGAUUUUCAGCCUCGACAGCCAGAGCCCCAGCCCAAGGAAGUAAAGGUGUCUCCACCUAAAAUGGAGGAUGAAAGUGGGGAGGAGGAGGAGGAAGAAGAAGAAGAAGAACAAGGGGCAACUCUCUGUGGAGCUUGUGGUGAUAAUUAUGCCACGGAUGAAUUCUGGAUUUGCUGUGAUAUUUGUGAGAGAUGGUUCCAUGGCAAAUGUGUGAAGAUUACCCCAGCAAAAGCUGAGCAUAUCAAGCAGUACAAGUGUCCUAGUUGCAGUAGCAAGAGAGCUAGAGUUUAAAAUUUGUGGCAAUUUUAGAGCAACAUCAAUUAAGUGGAGGUGUUGGAAGGUCUAGGACUUUUAGCUCAGUUAUCAGAUGUAAUCUAUGUCAAAGUUAAAUGUUUGCUGAUGGAAUUGGGAUGUCCAUUUCAUGAACAUUUGCUUUCUGUUAUCUUACUUUCGGAUUGUGUUUUAGAUGAAAUUUGUGCCUGUCAUCAUCUUGUGUUUGUGAAUCUAUUUUCAUCUUCCUUUACUUUAAUGGGUUAUCUAUAUACUACUACACUGCGGUAGUACGAGGAAUUCAGAAACUUUUUGUGAUCCUUAG
rnacentral:lncRNA from 1 species